CGUGUAGGCGGCUAGGUAGGUCCGUUGUGAAAACUCGAGGCUCAACCUCGAGACGUCGAUGGAAACCAUCUAGCUAGAGUCCGGAAGAGGAGAGUGGAAUUCCUGGUGUAGCGGUGAAAUGCGCAGAUAUCAGGAGGAACACCCGUGGCGAAGGCGGCUCUCUGGUACGUGACUGACGCUGAGACGCGAAAGCGUGGGGAGCAAACA
rnacentral:rRNA from 1 species